UAACAAUGACCAUCAUCACCAACCAUAAGUGAUAUCCAACCCAUCAAGAUAUACAUCCAGGUAGAUAGCUGGUAAUGCCCAUCGGAGUUCAACAAGAGUCAAGAGCUGAGUUGCAAAAGCAUGUGAUUCAUCUAUGAGAUUUAUCUCAUCUCAAUUCAAAAAUUCCCACACUUUUUUAUCACAUAAGAACUAAAGUAAAUUGAAAGACUCUAUUAUUAAGUUUUACUUACUUCCUCGAUCAAAUUUCUGAUUACCAGAGUUUCUUGUAUGUAUGGAAGUAGUUAGACUAAAGCAAUUUAAGAAUAAAAUCAUAGAUAUUUAAAGCAUGUAUUCAAGAGCCGUGCAAUAAAAGUGUUGAAAAAAAUUCUACACACAAAAUUUUGUUAUCCACAUGGUGCUAAGCACUUCGUAUUUACAAUUAUGCGUGAAAUAUUCCUAAUUCAAGUUGUUCC
rnacentral:lncRNA from 1 species